rnacentral:lncRNA from 1 species
UAAAAAAUGAGGUGUGAAAAGUUUGGUUGCAAAAGGAAUUGAUCUUGGUUAGGUUUUGGCUUAGCCAAGUUCGGUGGAUUGGCUAUUUUUGCCUUGGUAGCAAAAUUGGUGAAUAAGUGAAGUUAUGGUUUUUCUGCAAUCUUGGUGGGGAAUUGUCACAAAUGCAUAAAACAUGAGGUGUGAAAAGUUUGGUUGCAAAAGGAAUUGAUCUUGGUUGGGUUUUGGCUUAGCCAAGUUCGGUGGAUUCGGUUUUUUUGCCUUGGUAGCUAAAUUCGUGAAUAAGUGAAGUUAUGGGUUUUGUGCAAUCAUGGUGAGGGAUUGUCACAAAUGCAUUAAAAAUGAGGUGUGAAAAGUUUGGUUGGAAAAGGAAUUGAUCUUGGUUGGGUUUUGGCUAUGCAAAGUUCGGUGGAUUGACUUUUUUUGCCAUGGUAGCAAAAUUGGUGAAUAAGUGAAGUUAUGGUUAUUGUGCAAUCUCUAAGGGGAAUUGUCACAAAUGACAAUCAAAAAUGAGGUGUGUAAAGUUUGGUUGCAAAAGGAAUUGAUCUUGGUUUGUUUUGGCUUAGCCAAGUUCAGUGGAUUGCUUGUUUGGCCUUGGAAGCAAAAUUGGUGAAUAAGUAAAAUCGUGGUUUUUGCGCAAUCUUGGUGGGGAAUUGUCACAAAUGCAUCCAAAAUGAGGUGUGCAAAGUUUGGUUGCAAAAAUGAAAUAAACUUUGUUAUAAAUUAAGGUACAGGUUCGAAUUCCAUAGAGAAUAUAGAUGAUAUUAUCUAGAAUGCUAGAAAAAAAGAAAAGACUUUCGAAAGAUUUUAUCCAAUUGAAAUUUUGAAAAUAACUGGAAUAAGAUUAAGAAUUCAAUCAUUGAAAGUGAAUAAGUAAGUAAACAUUUAAAGGGGAUUGGUUGAAUAGUACCAAAAAAUGGAGUACUAAUUCCCAUUUCUUAUUUAUUAUUGAAUUAACCGAUAAAUUUGCUUUAUUUUCGAACAUUUCUUUUUGAUUUCAAAACUUUUUCGAAAAAAAAUUGGCUUUUGAUAUGGGAAUCAAUCCUACUACUUCCGGUCCUGAAGUUUCUUCGCGUGAAAAAAA